AUACGGAGGAUCCGAGCGUUAUCCGGAUUUAUUGGGUUUAAAGGGUGCGCAGGCGGCCAUUUAAGUCAGCGGUUAAAUCGUGGGGCUCAACCCCAUUCUGCCGUUGAUACUGGGUGGCUUGAUUGCGGUCGAGGUUGGCGGAAUUCGUUGUGUAGCGGUGAAAUGCAUAGAUAUGACGAAGAACACCGAUUGCGUAGGCAGCUGACCAGACCGCAAAUGACGCUCAUGCACGAAAGUGCGGGGAUCGAACAGGAUUAGAUACCCUGGUAGUCCGCACAGUAAACGAUGAAUACUUGUUUUCGGCGAUAUAAUGUCGGAGGCAAAGCGAAAGCGAUAAGUAAUCCACCUGGGGAGUACGCCGGCAACGGUGAAACUUAAAUGAAUUGGCGGGG
rnacentral:rRNA from 1 species